rnacentral:tRNA from 1 species
GUGGCUGUGGCUCAAUGGUAGAGCGCUCGCCUAGCAUGUGUGAGGCACUGGGUUCGAUCCUCAGCACCACA